AGUGAACGCUGGCGGUAGGCCUAACACAUGCAAGUCGAACGGCAGCACAGUAAGAGCUUGCUCUUACGGGUGGCGAGUGGCGGACGGGUGAGGAAUACAUCGGAAUCUACUUUUUCGUGGGGGAUAACGUAGGGAAACUUACUCUAAUACCGCAUACGACCUACGGGUGAAAGCAGUGGAUCUUCGGACCUUGCGCGAUUGAAUGAGCCGAUGUCGGAUUAGCUAGUUGGCGGGGUAAAGGCCCACCAAGGCGACGAUCCGUAGCUGGUCUGAGAGGAUGAUAAGCCACACUGGAACUGAGACACGGUCCAGACUCCUACGGGAGGCAGCAGUGGGGAAUAUUGGACAAUGGGCGCAAGCCUGAUCCAGCCAUACCGCGUGGGUGAAGAAGGCCUUCGGGUUGUAAAGCCCUUUUGUUGGGAAAGAAAAGCAGCAGGUUAAUACCCAGCUGUUCUGACGGUACCCAAAGAAUAAGCACCGGCUAACUUCGUG
rnacentral:rRNA from 1 species